AAGACUAUACUUUCAGGGAUCAUUUCUUUAGUGGUUGACUUGAGAAAUGUGUUUGUAACAAGUUUAGUCUCACUGUCCAAGAUGAAGAGCUCCGAUGUUUCUUUCAGAGCAGGAUACUGGUGGGAAGAUUUUGUUUCUUCUCCACUGUUGAAGAACGUCAAGAGUUUUUUAAAGACUCUGAUGGAGAAAACAUGGUCUCAGCGGA
rnacentral:snoRNA from 1 species